AACGAACGCUGGCGGCAUGCCUAACACAUGCAAGUCGAACGAGACCUUCGGGUCUAGUGGCGCACGGGUGCGUAACGCGUGGGAACCUGCCCUUAGGUUCGGAAUAACUCCCCGAAAGGGGUGCUAAUACCGGAUAAUGUCUUCGGACCAAAGAUUUAUCGCCUUUGGAUGGGCCCGCGUUGGAUUAGCUAGUUGGUAGGGUAAAAGCCUACCAAGGCGACGAUCCAUAGCUGGUCUGAGAGGAUGAUCGGCCACACUGGGACUGAGACACGGCCCAGACUCCUACGGGAGGCAGCAGUGGGGAAUAUUGGACGAUGGGCGAAAGCCUGAUCCAGCAAUGCCGCGUGAGUGAUGAAGGCCUUAGGGUUGUAAAGCUCUUUUACCCGGGAUGAUAAUGACAGUACCGGGAGAAUAAGCUCCGGCUAACUCCGUG
rnacentral:rRNA from 1 species